AUCCAGCUGACGAGUCCCAAAUAGGACAUAAUGCACUUCCUGAAU
rnacentral:hammerhead_ribozyme from 1 species